GUAAGGAAUAUUGGUCAAUGGACGAAAGUCUGAACCAGCCAUGCCGCGUGCAGGAUGAAGGCCUUAGGGUCGUAAACUGCUUUUAUACGGGAAAAAUAUGUGGAUUUAGAAUCCGCCUUGAUGGUACUGUAUGAAUAAGCAUCGGCUAACUCCGUGCCAGCAGCCGCGGUAAUACGGAGGAUGCGAGCGUUAUCCGGAUUUAUUGGGUUUAAAGGGUGCGCAGGCGGAGCGAUAAGUCAAUGGUGAAAGCCUACAGCUUAACUGUAGAAUUGCCGUUGAUACUGUCGUUCUUGAGUACAGUUGAAGUGGGCGGAAUGUGUUAUGUAGCGGUGAAAUGCUUAGAUAUAACACAGAACACCGAUAGCGAAGGCAGCUCACUAAGCUGCAACUGACGCUCAUGCACGAAAGCGUGGGGAUCAAACAGGAUUAGAAACCCUAGUAGUCC
rnacentral:rRNA from 1 species